rnacentral:lncRNA from 1 species
ACAAAUGUUACUUUCAUUUCAUUCAGCUUUUCUAGUUGUUGCUCUUGGAAGUAUUGGUAUUAAUAGACAGAAAUGAGAGUCCUGGGGCCACUUCUUGUAAGAAGUAAAAGUUUCAGGCAGGUGUUCAUAGCAACCAAUGAAAUAAGCAGAGGUGCUGUAGAGAACUCUGGAAAGUUCCCAGAAGGGCAGUCCUUACCAUCAAUAUCAUGAGCUGACCCUUGGCUGCAAUUGAAGAGGCUGCUGCAUCUCAGCAGAUCAGAAUCAUCUGUAAUAUCUUAUUUGAAGAGAUGAAAUGACUACAUGCUUUAUCCAGCAUCACUCCCAAGAAUGUGAAGGAGACCGCUCUUUAAUACAUCACGGAGAGACAGCUUCUUGAGCAUGAGCCAGAAAUGAGUUCCUCAUAAAAGAUCCAGGUCAGAGCAUAAGCACUGGGCCAGUGUAGCUCCAAUGUCACUGGUGUGCUGCGUCCUGCUCUUACCAGCUCAUGAAAACCUCUUGUGUGUAUCUUUUCUCAACUCUGUGUUCAGUAACAUCACAUUAGCACCAUGAAAUUGGCCAUGAUGGGAAUAUUUACACCAUGGAAAUCAGCAAGCACUAUAAAUCAGAGCCUUGUUUUACUCAGAGAGCUGAUUAUAAAACAUUAGCCAGCAUAUUACCACCCAGAGGAGGUGAAUGGCAGAACACUAGGGCCAGAUUUCAAACCCUGUAUUAGGCUUGUAUGCUGAGGGCUGACUCAGUAACAGGCAUCAUGUCAAACUCUUUGCACGUGUUCCAUCAUUUAAUCCUCACAAUAAAACUGUGAGAUCAGAUGAUGGAGAGUAGGAGAUUUUGUGUAACCUGCUUAAGACCGCAGAGCAACCUAGGUCAGUCUGGUCCUCACAUCUUUGUUCUUAACUACUGCACUAAACAUUCUCCCUGCAGCUGCACAAAAUGGGAGGACAAACCCUAGACUAAAUGGAUUGGGAGGUUUUUAGUUACUGAGGGCAGAAAACAUAGUAUGGCAGAGUCCAAGAACUGGUGUUGGAACUGAGCACAUAGCAAGUCUACAUAUGACAAUGCAAACAGACCCUGAGGCAGGGCCUACAGGUUCCCAGUGAGCAGAAAAGCAAACUCAAAUAAGCUGGGAGGCAGUAGCCAGUCUUGGAUGCAUCUGUGGCUGAUGGGCAUAGUGCAAUGACACAGGAAACUAGAAUCAGCAAUAUGACAUGGCCACAUGCCAGCAGUAGCAGGAACCUGCCCGUGGGGCUUGGCGGCAGUUCUCUGCACUCACAGUGAGUGAUUUCCAAGAGCUAUGCAUAUCUGUCAAAGGAAUUUAGGUUCUAGGUGGGUUUUUCAGUCUGGGACUUGGUGAUGAUCCAGAGUUCCUGCUUUCAGGAAGAGGCAAUUUGAUCAGAAUAGAACUAGCAGAACAGAACUCAGGAUUAUACAAAGAUUCUGCAGUGUAGAGGGGUAGAGGUUCUUAGCUACGGAGAUGUCCCUGCCAAGACCUAAAAGCUGGGAGAGAAGGGACACCCAGAAUACUGAGAACUAAGCAGGCCUGGAACAAUGCCAAGGCAGGAUACAGGUUAUCCAUAGUGUGUAAAAUCUACAUGUUUUGGAGCAUAUUUUUAUUCUUAAAAAAUAGUGCUACAGAUUAUGGUGGAUAAUGCAGGUGCCCCACCACAUCCCCUAGCUGCCGUGAAUGUUGACUGCUGGAUAGUAUUCCAUCUACCUUGCUUCUUGCUUCUCUCAUUCUUCUUUUCUUAAGAGAAGCACUUCAACAAGAAUUCUUCUCAGGCUCUGCUUUUGGGGAAAGCAACCUAAGACACAGGGAAUUUCAGCUCCUUGAAUGCUCUUCGUCAAAGAACUAUUCUCCUCUCUCUGAGAAGGUGAUCCUCCUCAACCACAGAGGCAGUUUCAGGAAGAGUGCCCAUGGAGGCUUGAAAAGGAGUGUCACGUCUAGGCAGCCAGAGCACACAUGUUGCUAUCUGGACAAUCAAUGAACUGUUCAUGAUGCUCUCUCUGGCCACCUUCCAGACAGGAAGAAAGAGCAGAGGAUCACUGUGAGAGGAAUUUGAGGAUCAAAUCCUGAAGUGGUACAUGUCACUACUGUUCAUAGUCUCUUUGCUGGAACUUGGUCCUAUGGCCCUACUGGCAGAGAGGAAGGCUAUGAAACCCAGUCUAGGCCUGCGCCUAGAAGAAGAAGAAGAAGAAACACCUUUUGAAGAACAGAGAGCAGUCUCUGUCAUACCAGGAGUACCUGUCACAUACUUGUAGAACAAAAAUCAGUAACAUUUUAAUUAUUGAAACAAUGUAACAACUUUAAACACAGUUUCAUAACUAGGAGUGAAUCACCCAUAAUCUCAUACCCGGAACAAAAUAUCUGUUAGUAUGAUGCACCUUUACAUAGCUGUAAUCUUAAAGGGCAUGUACUUCCUUCUUUGCUUUCCUUUUUUUUUUUCUUCAUCCUUUCCCUCUCUCCCUCUCUCCCUCUCUCCCUUUCUCCCUUCCUUCUUUCUUUUCUUCCUUUCUUUCUGAUUUUCUAACUUCCUUCUUUAAACAUUCCUUGAUCGUCUGUGGGUCUGGACAGCAACAUGGAGAUCAAUUAGGCGCAGCAUUUUAAAUUUGCCCUCAAGAAGUUCCACUAGUGUAAGAGUAGGCAAGUAACCAAUUAUUACAAUAGUGGGACAAGCGCUGUGAUAGAAAUAAAUACAGAGUACUGUGGCAGUCCUUACCCAGAAAAAGAUAUCUAGGGUAGAUGGUAUCUGAACUGAGAAUUAAAGAAUAAAUAGAAGAUAGCAUGGCAAAAAAAGUUCAAGAGUGUUCCAUUCUUUGAGAAUAGGGCAUUGAGAUAGAACCUGUAGACAUGAGAUAGAACUGUGUGCAUCCUGGAAAUUGCACAUGGUUCAGAUUGAUUGGGAAAUAGAGUGUGGAUGGGAAGUGAUGAAAGCUGAGUCAGUAGAGUUCGAUGGGGGUCAAAUUGUGAAAGAGUGUGAGCUCUGCUAAGGAGAUGAUAUUUUAGCUUAAAUACCAGAAGAGCCAUUGAAUUAUUUUAAGCAUAGGAGUGAUCUAAUCGGAACUCUGCUUGAGAAAGAUAACCCUGGUUGCUGUGUGAAAAAAUAUACCAGAGGCAAACAAAGUUGAAGCCAGGAGACCAGUUAAAAGACAAAAUUCAUAAUUUAUAUGAGAUAUGAUGAUAGUUUGACUUAGGCUGUGAUUGACAUUGCAGAGUAACAUAUCGCAUUCAAGAGAUGUUUGGAUGAUGAAACCAAGAGGGCUUGGAAAUUGAUUGGAUAUGAGGCAUUAGAGGAAUAUGUUAGGGCUAGAUCCCAGGAUUCUGGUUUAGAUAAUUGGAUAGACAAUUAAAGCAGAAACUAUUGAAGAAGGGGAGAAGAUAAAGAGUUUUGAUUUUCAUUUCAAUUCUAAGGUAUUCUUGGAAAUAUAAGUAGAGGAUGCUGAUGGGGGUUGGUUAUAAAGCAAAUUCAAGAGUGAGACUUCUGGAGUUAAGAUACAUAAUCGGAUCUGUAAGAAUGAAAGAAAGAAGUUGUUCAGGGACUAUGUGUACAGUAUGAAGACCAACAUAUAAAUGAAAUAUAAAAGAACAAAAGCUGACAAUGGAGUCUGUGAAAGAGCAAACAAAAAAAUGAGGAAGAGAACAGAGCAUGAAGUCACAGAAACCAAGGGAAGAAAAUUUUAGAUGCCGAUCAAAGAUCAAGGAAAAUAAAGAUAAAAAUGUGUCAAUUAGAUUUGGUAUUAAAGAAAGCAUUAGUAUCUUUUUGAAUACAAUUUUAUGGCUGCAUGGCAAAGAAUCAGAUGACUGGAAUCAGGAAGUGAAUAGAAAGUGAGAAAUGAAAAGGGCUCUCGAUAAGGUUUCCCUUAUUGAGAUAGGAGGUAAGCUCUAAUGUUUAUUUGAAGUUUUUUUUUUUCUUCCAAAGCUGGGAAAGAUUUAAUAAAGUAUGAAUGCUUUUAAGGAAAAGUUUGUAGACAGAGAUUUUUUGACAAUAGUAGAGCAAAUCAUGGCGAAAUAAUUGAUAGGAUGAGGUCCCAAGAAAGCAAGAACACUCCUUGAGGAAGAAGCUUUCCAUUUUAACAGGCAGUAACAAAGAGCAAUGAAUCAGGAUGAGUCUACGUUUGUCAGUUUAGAGUGGAAAUUGUUGGUAGAGCUCAUGGGACAACUCCUAUUUUACUUGUGACAAAAGCUUAACUGCUGAGAGCAAACAGGGUGGUGGGAUCAGCUAUUAUUUUUAAAUGGAGAAAUUUAAAAAUCACAAUUGCGAAGUAAAAUCUUUCAAGAAAGAUAGAAGAGGAAUACUGCUUAGUGCUGUGCGCCUCUUUGAAGUCAGAGUUGAUGCAGUGACCACCAUGCCAAGGGCUGCUUCGGGGCUUUCUCCCACAGCGCUCAUUGAGCUAUGUGAGAAGGCGAAGAUGGAAAAUAGGUGAAUGACAGCACACAUAUCACACGAGUUUGGCAAGAGGAUAAGUGAGGCAAGGGUAGCAGCAAGAGAGUGAAGAAAAUGCUCAGCCAGAAAACCUAAGCUGACUAUGAAAGAAGGAAAACAGUUCCACAGACUGGAGAGUUGCAAGAGAUACAGAUUAAGCAACAGUAAUUAACUGAAGAAGAAUUAAUUAACUGAAAGAAGUAAUUAACUUCUUUCUUAGAAGAAGAAGAAAAAACGGUAAUAUCCUGAGCAUGUAUGUUUUACUUUACUAUGACAUAAAGAGUCCACGGAGAUCUAAAUAAAUAUUUGUUGAAUGAUGAACGAGUGGAUUUUUCUGUGUGCACAUAUAAACUUUCACCUGUUAUUAUACACCUAGGUUGCUUUUAUUUUCAGUUUGUUUUUGAAAUUAUCAGUAGAGUUUUUCUUUCAGAGUGUACAGUUCUAUGCUUUUAAAAUUAAUAUACAUUAUUUUUAAAGCAGCUUUACAUUUACAGAAAAAUUGAGCAGAAAGUUGAGUUUCCAUAUACUACUCCUCUCCCCCAUACCCUGCACACAGUUAACAUCUUGCAUUCAUGUGGUACACUUGUUAUCGUUAAUGAACCAAUAUUGGUAUAUUAUUAUUAAUUAAAUUCCAUAUUUUACAUUAGGGUUUACACUUUGUGUUACACAGUACUAUGGGUGUUGACAAAUAUAAAUGUUAUGUAUCUACCAUUACGAUAUCAUACAGAAUAGUUUCACUGCCUUAAAAGUCCCCCGGGCUCCACCUACUCAUGCCUACCUUCUUCUCAUCCACCCUUUUCCUAGCAACCCUUCAUCUCUUUAUUGCCUCUAUAGUUUUUUCUAAUUUGAAGUCAUAUAGUUAAAAUUGUACAGAAUAUGGCCUUUGCAGACUGACUUCAUUAACUUAGUACUAUGCAUUUAAGAUUAUUCUAUGUCUUUUUUGUGGCUUGAUGGCUCAUAUAAAAAAAUCUGAAUAAUAUUCCAUUGUAUGGAUGUAUCAUAGUGUAUCCAUUCACUUAUUGAAGAAUGCCUUGGCUGCUUCUAAGAUUUGACAGUUCUAAAUACAGCUGCUAUAAAUGUCUGUAUGCAGGUUUUUGUGGGACAUCAGUUUUCAAAUAAUUUGGGUAAAUUUACUUGGUGAUUGCUGGAUUGUAUGGUAAAAUGAUGUUUAGCUUUGUCAGAAAUCACCAGACUGUCUUCCAAAAUGCUGAAUCAUUUUGCAAAUCCCACUAUCAAGGAAUGAAUGUUUCUGUUGCUCCAUGUCCAUGUGAGCAUUGGAUGUUGUCAGAGUUUAAAAUUUUAGCUGUUCUGAUAGGUGAGCAAUGGUUUAUCAUUGUUAUUUUAAUUUGUAAUUAACUAAUGACGUGUUGUUGAGUAUCUUUUUGUAUGCUAUCUGUAAAUCUUUGGUGAAUUACUUGUUCAGAUCUUUUGCCCAUUUUAGUUGAGUUGUUUGCUUUCUUAUUUUUGAAGUUUAAGAGUUCUUUGCAUAUUUUGUAUACUAGCCAUUGGAUAGCUGAUAGGCAAUUGUUUUUUUCUCAGUCAUUCUCCUAACAGUGUCUUUGACAGAGCAGAAGUUCUUAAUUUUAAUGAAGUUCAGCUUAUCCAGUUUCUCUUCAUGGAUUGUGCU